CACUAGUCACCGCUCAACUCCAUCAUAAAUCGUGGAAUUUUCUGCUACCUUUAGUCUUUUUCGGCUGGGUAGUUAGCUGCACACCUAGGGAACAGUCAAGAUUUGCACAUGGGUGUCCUAAAAGUCUAUCAAUUUUUAAAGCAAAAUACAUGUCUAAAGAUUUCUUUUCAGUAUUGCCGGAUCCGGAGUGUUCCCACUACUUAGAAAAAACUAAUAUUGUGGCGCUGCCCCUUUUUAUGACGCUGCUAGCAGCCACGAGUGAGUGCUAGCUAGCCAAGCACCACAACACAAGCAUACUAUACAACUGCUACUGUUCUUCCAGAGACAAAUGGAUGGGUCUGUGAACUUCUACAGAGACCUGGACCACUACAAGAAUGGCUUUGAGCAUGCUGCAGGAGACCACUGGCUGGGGUAAGGGCUUUUUAUUGAUGUGGACUGGGUUGUACUGCACCAGAUAUUUGUGAUGCCCUCUCCCACUACAACAUCCAGAGGUUUUCCACCUGCGACCGGGACCAGGUCAGCAGCCAUGUGAACUGUGCUGAAAGUUACCUGGGAGGCGUCUAGUAGACCAAGCGCUACAGCGCUAACCCCAACUGUGUCUAUAGCCAGAAUAGUCUGCAAAAUUGCAAAUGGAUCACAACUAAGCCCCAAAAGAGAUUGUAUUUGAAAAUAACAAUUUUAUACAUUGAUUACAUUAAGACACAAUCACAUAAUUAUGUCUCUUUUUUGUGUGUGUGAAUACUUGGGAACAGAUUUCAGUAAUUAAACAGAUUUUUUUUGCUGAAUUCCUUUUUACUAAAAACCUUGGGGGGCCCAAGAAAAUCACUCACGGCUGGUUUUGGUCACCUGUUGCCACCCGCUGCUAUACUACAAUGUAUGUAGGCCUAUACUGUUUUUUGUUUUGUUUGUCUGUGAGUGAGACAGGCUUGAAAUAAAACAACCGAUGUUAUUCUAUUGAAAGCUAUGUGUUAAUAAGCCAUUCAAUGUUCAUUGGCCAACAUAAGCACAUAGGUAUGUGUGUACAUGUGUGUGUUUAGGAGAGUGUGUGCUGUUUGUGGCUGCCUCCCUAUUUAGUGCAAUACUUUUGACCAAGUAGUACACUAUAUAAAGAAUAGGGUGCCAUUAAGGAUGCAAUCUGUGAGUGCAUAGUGGCAUGUAUCAACACUGUAGCCCAUGCUCUGAGUUCCUCCCAUUCCACAGAACAGGGGCUCAGCUACUGGUUGCUUGCUGAUAAUGACAGCAACGGACAGAUAGACUGACUUCCUCUCUCUCUCUCUGUCAUGGUGUUGUG